UCUGUGUGACUUGUCCGGACUGGGUUGGGGCGCUGUACCAGGCAGUGCGCUGGCUCCUGUUCACGCUGAGUGGAUGUGGGGUGGCAGCCAGGCCUGCUUGCUCCUCCUGCAGGACCCAGGCUGUGGACUGGGCUCAUCUGCCUGGGAUGGUACAGGUGUCUGCCUGUGUCUGUUCUCCUCCCGUGCUGGGUGUCCAGGAGCUGUCUUCUGAUGUCACCGUGUCCUUCUCCCUCCGACAUUGCUGCUAGAACCUGGAGUGGAAGAGAAGGCGCCUGGGGAACCCACAUGACAAUGAGCCCUACCCACUGGGACAGCCGCGUGUGGCCCGUGGGCCUCGCUGUGAUGUGGAGCAGGACCCCUGCUCCCCUGGCCCACUUAUCUCAGUCUUGGCACUGCGUCUGUGCUGUCUCCGCAUGUGAGAACAAGGAACACUCAAGGAUGCACGGAGGGUAUUUCUCUCUGCCCUGAUAGCUCCUUGCUGAGAGAAAAUGGGGGAAAGCUGGGCCCAGCUACAGCCCCCACACCCUGGGCCUCUCUGCAGGGUUGGGCAGGGCGGCUUCCCAAGAAUGCGCUGCUGUGGAUACUGGGCAGGAUGGCUCUGAGGAAGCAGGCACGCGGUGGCACCUGCAGAGGCUGCUGCUCUUCACGGCCCUGAGCACAGAGCCUGUUGACUGGGAGCAGAGUGGAGUAGAUGACUCUCUUCCAGGCUGCAGACCUGAGCCUGGGGCCCCAGAGGAGUCACAGGGCCUAAGGAGCUUCUCCAGAAGUGGGUAGACAGGAGGAAAGAACUCAGCUCUGGAGCCUGCCAGGUGUACCAAGUGAAAUAAAAAAGUAAGGUGACACGGUGGUCUUCACUGUGAGAGUGGCAUGAUCACCAGCUUUGGCGUCAGCAUGGGACAAGCCUCAAACUGUCCCUUGUGGUCGUCCGUUGCCAAAGACCCUUGGGUCAGGCUCCAGUCCCCACUGCCCAGUGUGCGACGCAGGCCUGAGAAAAGGAAUGCCCUGGGAGACAGAACUAAGAGAGAAAGUGGGGCCGGGAUGACCAAGGCCAGUGCAACCCACAAAGGCACCGCACAGUCCCAGGCACUGACUUCCUGGCAAUCAGUUGUGGUAAAGGCGAUGGUGGUUUCUAUGGAAAUGAAUGUAAACAUGGCUCAGAAAG